rnacentral:rRNA from 1 species
GAUGAACGCUGGCGGCGCGCCUAACACAUGCAAGUCGAACGGGAACACCCGUAGCAAUAUGGGUGUUUUAGUGGCGGACGGGUGAGUAACGCGUGAGGAACCUGCCUUUCGGAGGGGAAUAACACAUCGAAAGAUGUGCUAAUACCGCAUAAUGUCAUCGGGCGGCAUCGCCUGAUGACCAAAAGAGCAAUCUGCCGAAAGAUGGCCUCGCGUCCGAUUAGAUAGUUGGUGAGGUAACGGCCCACCAAGUCUGCGAUCGGUAGCCGGACUGAGAGGUUGAACGGCCACAUUGGGACUGAGACACGGCCCAGACUCCUACGGGAGGCAGCAGUGGGGGAUAUUAGUCAAUGGAGGAAACUCUGAACUAGCGACGCCGCGUGAGGGAAGAAGGUCUUCGGAUUGUAAACCUCUGUCUUCGGGGACGAUAAUGACGGUACCCGAGGAGGAAGCUCCGGCUAACUACGUGCCAGCAGCGCGGUAAAACGUCUACUG